rnacentral:rRNA from 1 species
GCAUAUCAAUAAGCGGAGGAAAAGAAACCAACAGGGAUUGCCCCAGUAGCGGCGAGUGAAGCGGCAAGAGCUCAGAUUUGAAAUCGUGUUUCGGCACGAGUUGUAGAGUGUAGGCGGGAGUCUCUGUGGAGCGCGGUGUCCAAGUCCCUUGGAACAGGGUGCCUGAGAGGGUGAGAGCCCCGUAGGGUGCUGCGCGAAGCUUUUGAGGCCCUGCUGACGAGUCGAGUUGUUUGGGAAUGCAGCUCCAAGCGGGUGGUAAAUUCCAUCUAAGGCUAAAUAUUGGCGAGAGACCGAUAGCGAACAAGUACUGUGAAGGAAAGAUGAAAAGCACUUUGAAAAGAGAGUGAAACAGCACGUGAAAUUGUUGAAAGGGAAGGGUAUUGGGCUCGACAUGGGGGGUGCGCACCGCUGUCUCUUGUAGGCGGCGCUCUGGGCGCCCUCUGGGCCAGCAUCGGUUCCUGCUGCGGGAGAAGGGGCUCCGGAAAG